rnacentral:rRNA from 1 species
UACGUAGGGGGCAAGCGUUGUCCGGAUUUAUUGGGCGUAAAGAGCGUGUAGGCGGCCUGACAGGUCUGCUGUGAAAACUCGAGGCUCAACCUCGAGAUGUCGGCGGAAACCGUCUGGCUAGAGUCCGGAAGAGGAGAGUGGAAUUCCUGGUGUAGCGGUGAAAUGCGCAGAUAUCAGGAAGAACACCUAUGGCGAAGGCAGCUCUCUGGGGCGGUACUGACGCUGAGACGCGAAAGCGUGGGGAGCAAACAGG